UACAGAGGUCUCAAGCGUUGUUCGGAUUCAUUGGGCGUAAAGGGUGUGUAGGUGGCGCGCUAAGUCGGGUGUGAAAUUUCGGAGCUUAACUCCGAAACUGCAUUCGAUACUGCCGUGCUUGAGGACUGGAGAGGAGACUGGAAUUUACGGUGUAGCGGUGAAAUGCGUAGAUAUCGUAAGGAAGACCAGUGGCGAAGGCGGGUCUCUGGACAGUUCCUGACGCUGAGGCACGAAGGCUAGGGGAGCAAACGGG
rnacentral:rRNA from 1 species